GUGUGAAAAUUCAAGGAAACAAGUGAAAAAAGGUGGUGAAUCCUUCAAUAAGGGCAAAGAAAUUGUACCCGAGCGUCGAUAGUCGGAGUACUCUUAAAAUUCGACUCCCGAAAUAGCUCAGAAUAGGCUGUAGAUAGCUGAUUUCACCGAGGCUACCAUUGGAUUUACAUCUUCCAAACUGUAGGUUCACAGUCUCCCUUACUUUUAGUUAUUCAGGGGCUUACUGGUUAUUGUAAAUUAAAUUAAA
rnacentral:sRNA from 1 species